AACGCCCUGCUUCACACUCAGACACAUUCACACCUGGGAUCUGCCCAGUACAACCACAAUCCUCUAUUGUUGGCCACUGAGCAGCUCCACUAAAUUAUUCCAUUAUAACUAUUUUGAUGCUCGGUGGUGCAGUCAGACACUUUGACUCAUGAUAACUGGCUGUUAUAGAUUAACUUGAUUUUAUUUUCCUUCAUACAGAAUGCCCACUAUAUUCAGUGAAGGUACUGGGACACAGGAGAUUGAUCUGGAAAAGAGGAUCUGAAAGCAGCCCCUGUUCUUAUCAGGGGAGACUACAGCACCCAGGAUCAGGAAGAAUGGAGAGAACCUGAGGAGAGAGGAGAGAGCCACCUGCUUUAGAUCUGGAGCCAUUUUCAUUUAAUAUUUUGAGACGUAUUUACAAGAAAAGAGAUCCAUCUGCUUCAUAUCUGGGGCCAUUUUCAUCAAACCUUUUGUAAGAAUCUUACUGGAGGAGAGACCUGCCUGGAUCGUGGAUCAGAGACUACACGAGAAUAUUCCGACAAGACCAAACAAACAAAAUAUAAAAAUAAAAAAACAUUUAUUAAAAAAUAAGACAUACAGACAACACUGAUGCUCCAGGAAAUCUAAUGGAGAGAAGGAAAGAUGAAUUUUGAUUGAAUUAAAUCAAAAUGUCCCACUUAAACAGUAAAAGUGUAAUUAUUAUGCCAGUCCUCAAAUAUAUAUGAAAUGUGUUUUCCAGAUGAAACAGAUAAAUUCAUAUUUUUUGCACUUUUGCCAUGUUGGAAGUGAAUGGAAUGGAUUCAUAGAUUAUGUAUCACGCAGAAGGAUAAUGUAUCUGCUCUCAGAGGUUUGUGCGGAAGAAGGUCUGGGCGUAAGGACACUCAACCUGAGCGGCGCUAGUAGCACUUAUUAUAAAGCUAUUUGUGUAGUUAUUAUUUCUUUUUUCACUUCCAUAUUUGAAUGAACAACAGCAUCGUCAUCCUCUAUUGCAGUGUUUUUUUAAACUAUGCGUAGGAACCCAAAAUGGGUGGCUGGAGUGUUUCAGAAGAGGAAGAUGCUGAUUUUUUACCUUCUCUUGCUGAUUUCUUAUCAACACAUCGGUGCAGAAGCUGUGUACUGUAUAAAGGAAUUGCCCUGCAAGUGCUUUAA